UCAGUGCUUCACGGCAAACAGUUUGUGCGUUGUUGGUGGAUCAAACACUGGGAGGCUCAUUUAGUCAGUGUGUCGCGGAGCAAAUCAUGUGUACAGUGUUCCAGGAUGAAGCACCACAAUGAUACAAGUGCAGUGCUUAGGUUUGUGAAGGACGCGCCAUCACGUGGGCAGCCAUGAUCCCCUCCAUGCAGCUCCUGGAUGCCACGCGCCGCAACAAGUGGUAACACGGAGAGCAAGUGGAAGAAACCUUGGGAGACUUCCAUGACUCAGGAACAAGCACACCUCACUGGGAGCCUUGUGACUGACAGGUGGUUCAGACCGACUGGGAGACAUGACGUCAGUGCCACCACGCAGGGAGUAAAACCAAGAGGAGGAAGAGGAGCAUUCAAGAGACAUCAGCUGGCCAGCAGUCCAUUCAGUUUCACAACAGGAAGUGAAGGAUGAAGCAUGAAGGUUUUAGGCCAAAAUGAACAGACAGCAAUCAGGAAUGACACGUCCAGCAAAACCGGCAACACAGCAACACACACACACACCCAGGCUUCCAAGUUGAUAAUCCAAAAGCCAGCAGAUGACAGCUUCCUUCCAGCACACACUUGUAUCGCCCAACUUGACCUGCCUGAAUACAAGCUGAUACAGUCCAUGCAGCAGAGUAAAUUUGGCAAUAGGUUUGAACUGGUACCAACACCCAAACUGGCACAUCAGAUCCACUUUUGGUGCACCACUCGCUGACGUAACAGAAUGGUGUUGAUCCAGUUUGUCGUCCAUGUGCAUUGUUUGAUUUUUGUGAACCUCCCAACAGCCAUCUUACUGUUUUUUUUUUGCUGCAAUUAACCACAUCUUUGGUGUGGAGCCUCUACAAGUGGUGGAGGGCAUGGACACUUGGAUAUGGAUGACACUGGUUUGGGUGCCAAAUAUUAAUAGUGCACCUACACAAUUACCACACUCGAUCCUCUCACCAGGCUUAACUAUAAAUAAUUAAAGGUAAAUAACAUCUGUCAUCUAUUAUCUAUUGUAUUCUAUAUUGCUGUUAAUGUUUCAUGUAUACUGUAAUGUCUUUGCUUUCAAAUGCAAGUCAAAAGGGUGAACCCCAUUUAUAGUACUAUUCACGUUUGGCAAAUUUCACUUUUGACAUUGGUUUGGCUACACUAAUUGAACUGCUAACAGUGAGGGACUACUGUAAAUGUAGUAAUAAUUAUAAUUAUAAUAAUAAUAAUAAUAAUAAUAAUAAUAAUAAUAAUAAUAAUAAUAAUAAAAAGUAAUGAUAAAGUGCAAGACAUGUUCAUUAACGCAAUUAUUUUCUCCAACAUGGAGGAGUGAGGAGGCACAUCUGUCUGUGAUUAGGGAAUGCAAAUGACGAUGUUCCAAGGACGUCACCCUGUCCUGGGACAUGACAUGAGAGAGAAGAGGAAAAAAGGACUCUCUCUCUCUCUCUCUCUCUCUC